UUCUGUAUAUAAUUCAAUUUUAUUUUCUCUCCCCUUUUUUAUUAUUUUUAUUUUUAGCUGAAAAGACGUAAAGGCAGUCAGCCCAGUGGUGUUUCUGGAGAGGGAUUCCUUCAGAAAUGGAGAAGACAGAAAGCUGCGGAGGCAGAUAUUUGCAGCAUGUUCGAGUGAGCAUGAUGACCACGAGUGUGUGUCGAACUUUUCAUGACCUGAUGACUGUGUUUCCCAAUCCUGAUCCUGGAGAACCCCAGCACUGCACGGUUUUGGCGUCUCUCUUAUCUGCCUUGGAGUCUUCACUGAUGAGCUGAUGAGUUGAAUCAGGAUUGUUUGAGGAUAACGC